UACGGAGGAGGCAAGCGUUAUCCGGAAUUAUUGGGCGUAAAGCGUCCGCAGGUGGCACUUCAAGUCUGUCGUCAAAGUGCAGAGCUUAACUCUGUAAAGGCGGUGGAAACUGUAGGUCUUGAGUAUGGUAGGGGUAGAGGGAAUUCCCGGUGUAGCGGUGAAAUGCGUAGAGAUCGGGAAGAACACCAGUGGCGAAAGCGCUCUGCUGGACCUGCACUGACACUGAGGGACGAAAGCUAGGGGAGCGAAUGGG
rnacentral:rRNA from 1 species